CACGAGUCCAGGUUCUCUAUGGAACACUGGAACAAUUAAUGCAUUCCUAACACAAUGGGAGGUGAGCGCUCUGGACUACAAAGUGACUACAAAACACCAUCAAAUAAACCAAGUGCAUAGGUGUGCCAGUGGCCCCCAACUCAUAGACAUCAUUAUUCAGAUUAACAAACGCCAAGAACAAAAAUAAGUCACAAUAUUUACCAGAAAUUAUGAAGUCAUCUUUACCCCAAUACUUUCACUCAUAGGGUUAAGGCAUUUAAUACAGACUGAACACCUGAACAUUAGUAUGUGCAUGGAGAAAAAAUAAUUAAAGAAUGUGCACCUAAAUCUAACCAAUAUUUUCUCUGGAGAGUGGCUUUUGAGUAGAAAGUUGCAUUCUAUGCUACCUAUCUGUAACAUUUAUUUGUUUGCAAUAUUUACAUUAUGUUAAUAAUUAAAAAUAUAUAUACUAGGUCCCAUGUCCAGUGAGAAUAUUCACAUAUUCAGUAGUUGGGGAACAGUACACUGUUUCUGUUUUACUUAUCCCCAUGAGUGAUUAUAAUUCUAACAGUCCCAAUUGGGGAAGUUAAAUGUCCACUGAGUGUUCAGAAUUCUCAGGUAAAAAAGCCACUGCAAGUGAACACCCAGGACUUACAGAGCUUGAUAGUUUCUAAUUCAAGACGUAGACAGAACAAGAAUGCUGCUCUGGAUGUCCAAUUUGGAGAUUUCUAAAAGGAAAAAGACGCAGAUUAAAAAUUAUGCUGGAGAAUAAAAGUGAUUAAAAGGUAUCAUUCAAAAGAAAUUGUUUUUCCUUGAAUCACAGACAUUGUAUUUAUCUAAGGAUAAACUAGGUUCAAAGCCUGUUUCUAAUUCAGCUGCUCCAGGAAACUAAAACUGAUUCCAAAAGGAAACAAAAAUCAAAGUAUGAGGCCAACUUCAUGUAUUCAAUGGAAAACAAACUAAAUGAGAGCCUGUGUAUUUCCAUGAGCCUGGGGAACCCCGGCUUUGCACUGCUUCAUACUCAACAUCCCAGAAAGGACAUGUCACUCCUUCUAACUCACAGAAUCAUGCAGAAAAUGAUGGAGCCUCCUCAUAAACAACUGCAAAACUGGCUAGGAAAACAGCUACACUGUCCUCCAGAAACAUCGUUAAUAUUUGCAAAGGGAGAAGAUAUCACAAGACAGGUCUAGUAGCUCCUUCUGUCCUCCAAAUGCAGUUCAGACCCAAGGUCACGAACAAACACAUGUUUCCGCUGGUCCUGGACUUCUUUUUCCUGGAUUGAGGACAGAUCUUGAUGGCCUCAAUAGUCCCAAAUUUCAAGUACAAACUAUUUCAUUAUCAGCAAAAAUUAACAUCGACUGGACCGAGAAAUGACUCCUUUUUACAAACGGGGAAAGAAACGGAGACUCCUGGAGGAAAGCUGCUUCUGCUGGACAUGUUCUGCUUUCGCUGCACUUGGAGAUACUGGGACGAGUCAUGAAAGUGAUGGUUAUCGGGACAGCUGGCAAUGCUAAAGAAAAUACUGUGUUGAAAAUCUUAACCGUCUUCUCCUCCAGCAUCUGCUUUUGUCAGAUACCAUCAGUCCAAAUGACUGCGUCUUUGUUUACUCAAAAGCAGGAGCCAACAGACAGGGAAGGAAGUGUCCUGUCUGCAAUAGAUAUCUUCUUUAUUGAGAUUUACUGUAUAUUUUGCAGGUUUAUAGGAGGAACCAAGAGAAAAAUAUUUUAAGGAGGCACUUGGGACUCCAACAGAUAAUGGCUAAAAAACUACUUCAUUAAGAUCUAUGCCAGCGUCCUCAGCACUAUCAUCGCCUUUCUGGAGAGAUGUGUAAUGAAUGAUACACUAAACAUGUAUUAGGAAGGCUGUAAAUCCUGACCUAGAUUUUCUAUCGCUUCAAAACAAUACAAAGAGCCUGAAAAUGCCCAUUUAAAUAACAACUAAGAUUGAUACUUUCCACUCACUUUCAAAACUUUCAAAACAGCCUACUUUCUCCUGUCC
rnacentral:lncRNA from 1 species